GUUUCUUACCGAUGGGACAGGACUUCUGUAGUCACAGGCUUCACCACACCAGCCUGCUUUUCACAUUUGUGUAACUCCCUGGUUUCUGCAACCGUUUUAUUGCCAACUGCUGAAAGGCCAUUCCACUUACAUUUUUCAUUAAGGAGCUACCUCAGAAACCCUGGAUUUAGAGCACAAAUCCUAGCUGCAAGUGCCACUUCAUUCAGAGUGAUUUUUGAGAAAGACAUAUGUACAAAAGAAGAGAGUAGACAGAGGUGAAAAGAACAGGAUAUCUGGGACCUGCAUGUAAUAACACCAACUGAUUUUAAGCAAGAUUUGAGGUAAAAUCGAAUUGGUCUUUGGAAAGCUGAGACAUCAGGAGUGCAAGAGCAGCUUGAGCAACAUGGUGGAAUCCCAUCUCUACUAAAAAUACCGAAAUUAGCCCAGCAUAGAGGCAUGUGCUUGUAGUCCCAGUUACUUGGGAGGCUGAGAUGGGAGGAUAGCUUGAGCCUGGAAGGUCAAGGCUUCAUCAAGCCUGCAAUGAGUCAUGAUCUGACUACUGCACUCCAGCCUGGGGAACAGAGUGAGACCCUACCGCAAAAUGAAAACAAACAAACAACAACAAAAACAAAAACAGAGAAAAGAAAAGAAGAAAAAAAAUCUAAUUUGAUAUUGAAUGGAAAGUUGGUGUGUAAGCAAAAAGGAACAGAAGCCGUCAGUAAAGCAGGGCAUAAAUGUGCUCUUA